rnacentral:rRNA from 1 species
AUUGAACGCUGGCGGCAGGCCUAACACAUGCAAGUCGAACGAGUGGCGGACGGGUGAGUAAUGUCUGGGAAACUGCCUGAUGGAGGGGGAUAACUACUGGAAACGGUAGCUAAUACCGCAUACCAUCAGAUGUGCCCAGAUGGGAUUAGCUUGUUGGUGGGGUAACGGCUCACCCAGGCGACGCUCCCUAGCUGGUCUGAGAGGAUGACCAGCCACACUGGAACUGAGACACGGGCCAGACACCUACGGGAGGCAGCAGUGGGGAAUAUUGCACAAUGGGGGCAAGACUGAUGCAGCCAUGUCGCGUGUGUGAAGAAGGCCUUCGGGUUGUAAAGGACUUUCAGCGGGGAGGCGUUACCCGCAGAAGAAGCACCGGCUAACUCCGUGCCAGCAGCCGCGGUAAUAC